rnacentral:rRNA from 1 species
UACGUAGGGGGCAAGCGUUGUUCGGAAUUACUGGGCGUAAAGGGCGCGUAGGCGGUGUGUCAAGUCAGGCGUGAAAGCCCCGGGCUCAACCUGGGAACCGCGCUUGAGACUGGCACGCUCGAGUUCGGGAGAGGAUGGUGGAAUUCCCAGUGUAGAGGUGAAAUUCGUAGAUAUUGGGAAGAACACCGAUGGCGAAGGCAGCCAUCUGGACCGACACUGACGCUGAGGCGCGAAAGCGUGGGGAGCAAACAGG